CAGCUCGCACAGAAACAUCUGCAUGGAUUUGCCGGUUUUCCUUAAGCUAGGGCCAGCUCAGCUCCUCCAGGGCCGUGUGCAGCAAAGCUGCUGACAGCCCUGCAAGGCAAAGGCAAGAAGUUCUUCCUCGGUUACAAAGGGCUCUGUUCCUCCAGACCAGGCAGUGGAGCGUCCUCUAGGGAGGGACGGCAGUCCAGGAGAGUGAGGCUGGACCACAACUGGAGGACAAGACAUCCUCUCCAUCUCAGCCAUCCCAGACAGGUGAGCCAGGCUCCCCUGGACACCCCGGCACUGCUGAGCCAACCCCAGACAGAAGAACUGCCCGGACCCCCUCACAGCUUGCGUGAGACAACAGGUAGGUGUCUUGUGAAACACUGAGUGUUAGAGCAGUUUGUUAGGCAGCAAAUCAUCGCUUUGCACCUCCCACGUUGGAAUUCUCCUUUUUUGAAGCGCCAUAGCAGCUCAGCUUGGGCUUCCUUGGUGGCUCAGA
ensembl:lncRNA